GCCGGGAGAGAAGACAGGGCAUGUGAUGAGGGGCAGAAAGACGGCGUUGGACCUGGAAUCAGCUAAUCUCAAGAGCGACCAGCAGGAGGUGCACUAGUGUGGCUCAACUGUAAUACAUCUUGAACCAAUUCCUGUGCCGUACUUGGGACUAACCUGGGAGUAGCAUCACCUAUUGAGUGGUUUAGAAGUUGUUCUUCCGAGGAGCAGCUGGUUAAGGAAUUCUCUGGAUCUUGCUAAAAGUCUCGUGGGCGGCACAGAACAGACACAGAGCAUACCAGCGCUACGAGAAGUGUGAGUUAAGGCACACGCAGCUCCCGUACCUGAGAGGCCAGCACUAUGCCACCC